rfam:Eutrema salsugineum unplaced genomic scaffold scaffold_13, whole genome shotgun sequence.
UUUCUGCAAUGAUGAUUUUAUGAAAAAUUCACAUGUCAGACUUCGGAGAUUCUUGUAUAGAAUCAGUGAGAAGAAAUUCAUAUCUCUGAGCAGAAU